rnacentral:tRNA from 1 species
GGAUUUAGCUCAGUUGGUAGAGUGCUCGUCUCACAUACAUAAGGCCCUGGGUUCAAUCCCCAGCACCA